rnacentral:misc_RNA from 1 species
UCUCCGCUGGUGGACCAGCGGAGGGAUCAUUACAGGACUCGCAAGACUCCUACAACCCUGUGAACUUAACUAUAAGCACGUUGCUUCGGCGGGUGUCUCGGAGGGGGUUCUCCCUCCCCGAGACGCUAAACCCGCCGGCAGCCUACUAUACUCUGUCUCUUUGCGUUGGCAUCUCGAGUACAAUCAAACAAGUUAAAACUUUCAACAACGGAUCUCUUGGUUCUG